rnacentral:rRNA from 1 species
UACGGGGGGGGCAAGCGUUGUUCGGAAUUACUGGGCGUAAAGGGCUCGUAGGCGGCCAACUAAGUCGGAUGUGAAAUCCCCAGGCUUAACCUGGGAACUGCAUCCGAUACUGGAUGGCUUGAAUCCGGGAGAGGGAUGCAGAAUUCCAGGUGUAGCGGUGAAAUGCGUAGAUAUGCGGAGGAACACCGAUGGCGAAGGCAGUCCCCUGGGCCUGUACUGACGCUCAUGCACGAAAGCGUGGGGAGCAAACAGG